AUUGAACGCUGGCGGCAGGCUUAACACAUGCAAGUCGAGCGGAGUGAUGGUGCUUGCACUAUCACUUAGCGGCGGACGGGUGAGUAAUGCUUAGGAAUCUGCCAUUUAGUGGGGGACAACAUUCCGAAAGGAAUGCUAAUACCGCAUACGUCCUACGGGAGAAAGCAGGGGAUCUUCGGACCUUGCGCUAAAUGAUGAGCCUAAGUCGGAUUAGCUAGUUGGUGGGGUAAAGGCCAACCAAGGCGACGAUCUGUAGCGGGUCUGAGAGGAUGAUCCGACACACUGGGACUGAGACACGGCCCAGACUCCUACGGGAGGCAGCAGUGGGGAAUAUUGGACAAUGGGCGGAAGCCUGAUCCAGCCAUGCCGCGUGUGUGAAGAAGGCCUUUUGGUUGUAAAGCACUUUAAGCGAGGAGGAGGCUACUAGUACUAAUACUACUGGAUAGUGGACGUUACUCGCAGAAUAAGCACCGGCUAACUCUGUGCCAGCCGCCGCAGUAAAAC
rnacentral:rRNA from 1 species